CUGGCCAGAGACCGAUAGCGCACAAGUAGAGUGAUCGAAAGAUGAAAAGCACUUUGGAAAGAGAGUCAAACAGUACGUGAAAUUGUUGAAAGGGAAGCGCUUGGCACCAGACCUGCUGGCGGGCGAUCAACGGCCGUUCGCGCGGCCGUGCACUCGCCCGUCCGCAGGCCAGCAUCGGUCUAGGCGGUUGGAUAAAGGCCUUGGGAAUGUGGCUCCCCUCGGGGAGUGUUAUAGCCCUCGGUGGAAUACGGCCAGCCUGGACCGAGGACCGCGCCUCCGGGCUAGG
rnacentral:rRNA from 1 species